rnacentral:rRNA from 1 species
CAGCCGCCGCGGGAAUACGGAGGGGGCUAGCGUUGUUCGGAAUUACUGGGCGUAAAGCGCACGUAGGCGGCUUGGUAAGUUAGAGGUGAAAGCCUGGUGCUCAACACCAGAACUGCCUUUAAGACUGCAUCGCUUGAACGUCGGAGAGGUGAGUGGAAUCCCGAGUGUAGAGGUGAAAUUCGUAGAUAUUCGGAAGAACACCAGUGGCGAAGGCGGCUUACUGGCUCAUACUGGACGCUGAGGUGCGAAAGCGUGGGGAGCAAACAGGAUUAGAUACCCCGGUAGUCCCUGUCUCUUAUAA